rnacentral:lncRNA from 10 species
GCAUUUCCUAGUUUUUCAGCCACAUAAAGAAAAAAUGGCUUAUCAAGAUUAGGGAUCCCUAGGGCUGGAGCUGAUCCCAAUUUCUUUGAGAGCAUUAAAAGCUUGUUUACAAUUGCUAUCCCAUUCAAAAGGAUCUAUGUCUGCUCCUUUCAGGGCCUCGUAUAAAGGCUUUGCUAUGUGCCCAAGUACAGGCACUCACAAAUGGCAAAAUCCUGCCAUUCCUAGGAAAUCCUGCAGCUGCUUUCUAGUUUGGGGUUCUGGAAUGUUCAAGAUAGCUUCCCUUCAUUCUGGUGCUAUUUCCUGGGUACCAGGGGUUAGGACAUAUCUUAAGUAUUUAACCUCUUGAGUUGAAAUCUGGGCCUUAUGUGGUGAGACCCUAUACCCAUUAGCUCCCAGAAAAUUUAGCAAUUUAAUGGUAUUUUUGGCUGAGUCUCUUUUGGUUGUAUUAGCAACCAACAAGUCAGCCACAUAUUGGGUAAUAGCACGCUUAUUUAAUUGUAACAUCCUUAAUUCUCUAGCCAAUUUAUUUCCAAACAGAUGAGGACUGUCCCUAAACCCCUGGGGAAGAAUUGUCCAAGUUAAUUGAGAAACCAAAUGACUGUCAGAAUCAGUCCAUUUAAACACAAACACGAAUUGUGAAUCAGUGUCUACUGGAAUGCAAAAAGAGGCAUCCUUAAGAUCUAAGACUGUAAACCAAUCAGCAUCCCCAGAGACCUGGGCUAACAGUAUGUAGGGAUUGGGCACUAUAGGAUGUAUGAGAAUGACAGCUUCAAUGACAGCUUGAAGAUCUUGAACAAAUCUGUAGUCUCCAUUCAACUUCUUCACUGGCAAGACUGGCAUAUUACAAGGAGACUCACAGGGCCUUAACAACCUGAAUUGCAAAAACUUAGCCAUUAAUGGUUGUCUUUUUCAAGGGAUGGGGCACCAGGCUUAAAUUGGAUGUAAACUGGAGGAACGUUUAAUGCUUUGCCUAGAAUCUCAAUAUCCCAUACUGUAGAAUUUACUUGGGAGGCUACUUCAAUAAGUAAACUAGGCAAGUCCCCUAUUGACUUUCUUCCCUUAUCGUAGGAAAGAAGAAGAGCAAUCCCUCAUCUGCCUUUUGAUUUUCAAAAGAUAACACUGCAUCUGGGUCAACAAAUGCCUUCCCAACAGGUGGUGGGGCAUUUGGGCAUGAUAACAAAGGCAUGUGAGAAAAACCAAGAUCCCUGAAGAGCAGCUUAAAGGACAGAGGCUUCUAUGAUCUCAGAUGAAAGAGAAGAGACAGAAGAGAAGACAGAACAGCUCUUUGCUUCCUCAAGUAAAGUGACACAAGUUAGAAGUGGCAGACCAUUGGUGAGAACAUGAUCUAACCUAACUUCAAGAAAGUCUGGAAAAUACAGAGAUACAUGAAAUGUAUUUUAUAAUGGCUAGAGCUGGAAACACAUCAUGUAUCCAGAAGGAAAAGGGCAAGAAGAUUGCAGGAUCCACAGACCUGGUAUUCCCAAACAGCUGAACCAGUAUCAGUACACCUCUGGAUUUCCCAUUACUUGAGAAAAAUAAACUCUUUCGUUUUAGCCACU